GACGAACGCUGGCGGCGUGCUUAACACAUGCAAGUCGAACGGAAAGGCCCUGCUUGCAGGGUACUCGAGUGGCGAACGGGUGAGUAACACGUGGGUGAUCUGCCCUGCACUUCGGGAUACGCCUGGGAAACUGGGUCUAAUACCGGAUAGGAGCCAUUUUUAGUGUGAUGGUUGGAAAGUUUUUUCGGUGUAGGAUGAGCUCGCGGCCUAUCAGCUUGUUGGUGGGGUAAUGGCCUACCAAGGCGGCGACGGGUAGCCGGCCUGAGAGGGUGGACGGCCACAUUGGGACUGAGAGACGGCCCAGACGCCUACGGGAGGCAGCAGUGGGGAAGAUUGCACAAUGGGCGCAAGCCUGAUGCAGCGACGCCGCGUGGGGGAUGACGGCCUUCGGGUUGUAAACUCCUUUCGCUAGGGACGAAGCUUUUUGUGACGGUACCUAGAUAAGAAGCACCGGCUAACUACGUG
rnacentral:rRNA from 1 species